CACGUGUCAACCGGGUCGUAUCGCUGUCAGGGUGUUGGCGACGAGCAUCUGUAGUAUCUAAACUGAGCUACGGCAAACGUGCCAUUGACGUCAACUAUACAGCAAUACAGAGCGUAAAUACCUGGAUCAAAGCUCUGCUAAGGUAAGCAGAGAUGAAAACAAGCUCAGAGUGUUUGGUCUCAAGCGGAGAUGAAGCUCCUACGCCUGCCUCCUCCUCCUCCUGCUCUUCACGGUGUCAUGAGUCAACAGGCAACAGGAGUACAAGAGUGGAUACGACACGGCUGCUUAUCUGGGUCAGCCGGGGACAUACCAGGAAUGAUGGCGACAAAUAAGAUGGAAGCGUCCAGUAAAUGGCUUUUGGGGAUUAAAAACAGCGCAGCCGCCGGCGAUUGGAAGCGUGACACAACAUCCGCCUCCCCCCCUUGUGGUUUGGAGGAUGUAGCGAUAACGAGGACACAGCAGAUGGAAAAACACACUACGCCACAUCACGCUCCUUGGUGUGGCUUCCCAGGCGUCGGCGCCGUGACACAAGUUGUCAACUGAUCAGGGCGAGGCCAGCGAGGAAGGGUGGAAAAAAAACACGGGUUCAUCAAUAUUGCAGCAGCAAAGCUGGUGAAAGGCAACACCGAGCGACCAACAUAUUCCAUCAUGUCAUCGGGACGGCGGAUCGAAUGCCUCGGCCUGACAUGCCAACAUUGUUACCUGAACAAACCAUGAUGCAAAGGCGCUUUCAUUAUUCAUGCGCGGUUUCUUUGAGGAAAAACCCAAAUGAGCAAUUAUUAGUAACAAGUAGGUCAGACCCUGAACGUGAGGAAAGGCUGAAAACACAUAAAUAAUGCUACGGAUGAAGUUUAAUGCUAACUUCCUGAUGAGAAUUGAUUCUCAUUUGCAAUACUGACCUGGAUUAUAUUUCAUCAUGGCAUAUGAUGAAUAAAAUGUUCUUCAGACUUCAAACAUACAGAAUGGGGAAUGAAGAGGCUAACAAAACUGCUAGGUGUGUGUGGGUGAUGGUAUGCAUGGUGUUUUUUAGCUAAACAUAAAUUUGUUCUUUUUGAGUAUUAGCGUAUUGUUCGGAUUAUUUGGUGCAUCGUAUUAUUCGGCGUAGUAUCAAUUUUACUUUAGGUUCAUUUGAUAGCUUUAGCGCUGUUAUGCUAGGUUCAGACCUUGAAAUAUGCGGCGUGUUGCUUGCUUUUGUCACACUGGUCUCACAUUGGGAUUCUGGAAAGAAAGAUGCUCAACUUGCGUUGGGUUUAACCAGCAACCAUAGAAUUUGGCGAGUUCGACUACA